rnacentral:rRNA from 1 species
ACUCCUACGGGAGGCAGCAGUGGGGAAUAUUGGACAAUGGGCGCAAGCCUGAUCCAGCCAUACCGCGUGGGUGAAGAAGGCCUUCGGGUUGUAAAGCCCUUUUGUUGGGAAAGAGAUCCAGCUGGCUAAUACCUGGUUGGGAUGACGGUACCCAAAGAAUAAGCACCGGCUAACUUCGUGCCAGCAGCCGCGGUAAUACGAAGGGUGCAAGCGUUACUCGGAAUUACUGGGCGUAAAGCGUGCGUAGGUGGUCGUUUAAGUCCGUUGUGAAAGCCCUGGGCUCAACCUGGGAACUGCAGUGGAUACUGGGCGACUAGAGUGUGGUAGAGGGUAGCGGAAUUCCUGGUGUAGCAGUGAAAUGCGUAGAGAUCAGGAGGAACAUCCAUGGCGAAGGCAGCUACCUGGACCAACACUGACACUGAGGCACGAAAGCGUGGGGAGCAAACAGGAUUAGAUACCCUGGUAGUCCACGCUGUAAACGGUGGGUACUAGGUGUGGGGUCCAUUCCACGGGUUCCGUGCCGUAGCUAACGCUUUAAGUACCCCGCCUGGGGAGUACGGCCGCAAGGCUAAAACUGAAAGGAAUUGACGG